GGUAAAGUAAGCUAAAUAUUAAGCUAUCGGGUUCAUACCCCGAAAAUGGGUGGAUGCCUCUUUACCA
rnacentral:tRNA from 1 species